UAAUGUCUCUUCGGAGGCAUGGCGAAAGGCUCAGUAACACGUCGCCAAUCUGCCCUAUGGACGGGGAUAACCUUGGGAAACUAAGACUAAUACCCGAUAGGUAUGGAAUUCUGGAAGGAGCCAAUACUAAAAUGGGCUUCGGUUUGCCAUAGGAUGAGGCCGCGGCCGAUUAGCUAGUAAGUGAUGUAAAGGAUCACUUAGGCAAUGAUCGGUAGGGGUAAUGAGAGUUAGCGCCCCGAGAAGGACACUUAGACACUGGUCCUAGCACUACGGUGUGCAGCAGUUAGGAAUUGUGCCCAAUGCGCGAAAGCGUGAGACCGCGAAUCUGAGUGCCAAGGAGAACCUUGGCUGUGAUGGAGUGUUCGUAGCUCCAACAGCAAGCAGAGGGCAAGGCUGGUGCCAGCCGCCGCGGUAAAACCAGCUCUGCGAGUGCCUAGGACGAUUAUUGGGCUUAAAGCAUCCGUAGCCGGGUAAGUAGGUCUCUGAUUAAAUCUGCAAGCUUAACUUGUAGGCUGUCAGAGAUACCGCUAACCUAGGGAAUAGGAGAGGUGAACGGUACUGCGAGAGAAGCGGUGAAAUGCGUUGAUUCUCGCAGGACCCACAGUGGCGAAGGCGGUUCACUGGAAUAUCUCCGACGGUGAUGGAUGAAAGCCAGGGGAGCGAAAGGGAUUAGAGACCCCUGUAGUCCUGGCCGUAAACGAUGAGGACUAGGUGUUGGUCAUGGCUAAGGGCCUGGUCAGUGCC
rnacentral:rRNA from 1 species